GACAGAGGGUGCAAACGUUGUUCGGAAUUACUGGGCGUAAAGCGCGUGUAGGCGGCUUUGCAAGUCGGAUGUGAAAGCCCUCGGCUCAACCGGGGAAGUGCACCCGAAACUGCAAAGCUAGAGUCUCGGAGAGGAUCGUGGAAUUCUCGGUGUAGAGGUGAAAAUUCGUAGAUAUCGAGAGGAACACCGGUGGCGAAAGGCGGCGAUCUGGACGAUGACU
rnacentral:rRNA from 1 species